rnacentral:rRNA from 1 species
UUCCCGGAAUACCCAUACACAUGAAGAGGAAAAUGGUACUUCGAUGAACGAUCUGCUUAAUUCCUCCCGCCACCGCACGCCCAGAAUGGGAGCCAAGGGGGUGGCAUCGUCAGCGGCGGGGACGGCGGCGCUGGUCUAUGUCGUGCUCUCCGGACGACUGUCCCCCGACGGCGCGGAGGAGGCGCCAAGGAGGCGGAACGGGCGGAGGGACGUUGGCGGGGAAAGCGAGGCGAGGUGGCCGGAGAGCGCGCCGGCGAGCUGGAGGGAAGCCGCGGCCGUGGCGGCGAGGACGGUGAGGUUGGCGUACGGCGAGACGCUGGGGAAGUGGCCGUUCGGGGACAUCGCCUUCGGGAUCAGCCACUACAUGCGUCUCCAGGGCAAUCUGCAGCACGAGUAUACAAGUGGCAAUUGUGUGCCCUUGGAAGGUCCUGGAGUAAGGCAGGAGCUGAUUGCACUUCUCAUAUACCUGAGACUCUGCAUGUUCUUCUCAAAGGAGCAUUAUGAAGUGUUCCUAGAGUUUGGUGGAUAUGAGCAGAAUGAUAUUCUUAUAAGGAAGUCCAAGGCAAAGCUUAUGAAGCCUACGUUCACGGUUGUUCGCGACGAAAGUACCAGAUGCUUCCUCCUUUUUAUCCAGGGAGCUAUCAGUGUUAAGGAUCGCCUGACGGCAGCAACUGCGGCAGAGGUUCCGUUUCAUCAUGUUGUGUCACAAGAAGGCCGUGGAUCAUGUAUAGUUGUUGGGCAUGCACAUUGUGGAAUGGUUGCAGCAGCUCGCUGGGUUGCGGAUCAGGCCAUUCCCUGCCUUAGUAGAGCAGUCGAGCGAUUUCCAGACUACAAAAUUAAGAUCAUUGGGCAUUCCAUGGGUGCUGCUAUUGCAGCUAUUUUAACAUGUAUACUACGUGAGAACAAGAAGUUAUCAUCAUCUGCAUGUAUUGCCUUUGGACCAGCUGCUUGCAUGAGCUGGGACUUGGCUGAGUCCAGCAAAGACUUCGUCACCACUGUUGUCAAUAAAAAUGAUCUGGUCCCAUCUUUUGGCAAGGUCUCAGCCGCUGAACUUCGUACAAAGGUCAUGGCAUCAUCCUGGGCACCUGGUCUCCAGGAACAUAUUCAGCAGAAAAGACUCCUGAGUUUUAUGAACCACUCUGUGGACUUCAUGCGAUCCUACAUCCCUUUUGUAUCCAGUCCAAGUUCUAAGGUUGCAGAUGUUGAUAUGCUGCAACCUUGGACUGCUAAGGCUGAGAUGAAGCAUUCAGAAGGCGUGCAUGAAGUAGUGAAGAAACAUUCUGCCCUAUCCUGCUGGCCAUAUGUUGCUACAAAGAGUCAAACUUCUGAUAAAGCUGAGAAAGGAACAGAUGGAGAACACAUGGAGCAGCUCCUGGAAGCCCUGCGAUCACCGUCGAGUACCUCUCAGUCACCUCGGCAUCGCCAGUUGUACCCCCCAGGAAGAAUCAUGCACAUGGUUGCAUUGCCAAUAUCAGAAGAGCAAGGCAGACAGAGUGAGGGUGUUGCCCUCUACGAGACCCCUCGCGACAUGUACAACAAGAUCCGACUCGACGGAUCAAUGAUAAGGGACCAUUACAUGCCUAGGUACAUUGAGACGAUGGAGAUGCUCAUCGACAAGCUUGCAGAGGAUGACGCGCCUCCCAGUGACUCCAACGACGUCCGGUUGGACUAACUUUAAAAUAAAGUACUAGCCACGCCUUCUGAGAGAUUUUGUAGGAAAUCCUGUAUGCGAUGAUGUUAAAUUUUUAACUGCUAAUUUUUUAACUAAUUGCUCGGUUGUUAUUUGUUUGUUUGAUGUUUUAUAUUAUAGUGUAUGUAUAAAUAUCAAGCUGGUGCGGACAGUGGAGAGUUUCAUGAAGAAAGCUUUAUGGCAUGAAAAAGUUUAUUCAUUUUAAAUAAGGGGA